CUGACUUUCCCUCCUAAGGAGACUUCUUUAUCUAUACUGGAUAGUAAGCAAGCUUACCCAUUGUUCUGGAGGGAGACACUGUCUUUCUCUUCCAAGGAUGUUUAUUACACAAACAUCAUUGAAAAGAUAGUUUAUAACAAAGGGAGUCAAUUCCUCUGGUAUGAGAUGUGCAGAAAUGUGAGAGAUAAAACAGAAAGUCGCCUCCAAACACCGAGUGCCUUCAAUAUGCUUGACAGUGUGUUCAGUGGUAUAAAGGUAGAAUCAUCUUUCAAAGUUGAACAUUAGAUACCACAUGACUCAGCAACUCCACUCACAGAUGCCAUGAAUUAAGCAGCUUUGCUUCACCACAUAUUCCCUACCAUGAUGUCCUGCUUUAACACAGGCCCAAAAACAAUGGAGUCAACUGACCAUGAACUGGAACUUCUGAAAUCAUGAAACAAAAUAAACCUUUCUCCCCUUUAAAUGAAUUUCCUCAGACAUUUUGUCACAGUGACAGAAAGCUAACACAUAGGUAUAUCAUAAAAUUCUCAUAUCAAUCCUGUCUCCUCUUUCUUGAUACCUGAUUCCUCCUCUAAGUAAACAUUUUUUUUAAUUUA